rnacentral:rRNA from 1 species
UAUCUCUGUAGAGUCUGCAUAUCAAUAAGCGGAGGAAAAGAAACUAACUAGGAUUCCCUCAGUAACGGCGAGUGAAGCGGGAAGAGCUCAAAUUUGAAAUCUUCAAGGUUCUACCUUGACGAAUUGUAGUUUAAAGAAGUGUUUUCUGUUGGAGUUUUGGUAAAAGUUCUUUGGAAUAGGACAUCAUAGAGGGUGAGAAUCCCGUAUUUGACCAUUAUUUCCAGCUUUGUGAUACACUUUCAAAGAGUCGGAUUGUUUGGGAAUGCAGUCCAAAAUGGGUGGUAAAUUUCAUCUAAAGCUAAAUAUUGGCGAGAGACCGAUAGCGAACAAGUACCGUGAGGGAAAGAUGAAAAGAACUUUGAAAAGAGAGUUAAACAGUACGUGAAAUUGUCAAAAGGGAAGCGUUUGACACCAGUGUUGUUUUCUCGAAAAUCAAUUAAAAAAGGCAGGAUUUUGUGUUGUAUUGACUUUAUCAGCUUUCUGCACUCUUUUCUUGUCUUUUUUUAAUGCACUUUUCGUUUAACAAGUCAACAUCAAUUUCUUUUGUUGUAAAAGGGUCAUUGGAAGGUGGCUUUCUUUUCGGAGAAAGUGUUUAUAGCCUUUGGCCUCUGCAAUCGGAGAGAUUGAGGUCUGCAGCGUAGAUCCUUCGGGGUUAGAUACAUUUGUGCUAUGUUAUAGCCUUUCAUAGACAACUUGUUGACUAUGAUCAGUCAUGUAGCUUACUCGCUUAUGCUAUUUUACCUACGCUUAGGAUGUUGAUAGUCACAGCGUGUAC